rnacentral:lncRNA from 1 species
CUCUCACGGCAUGCACGUGGUGUCCUCAGAAUAUGGAUGCUACUGAGAUCUGGAAAAUAGACAAGCUUCUUAAAUAAAAGUGUGAAAGUCACAGAAGGUCAGAGAAGUAGAGGAACAACUUCAGCUGCCCCCUAAUCCCUGAGGUAGAAAUGGAUAAAGUGGUGAAAACACAUCUUCAGUUACUGCUGAAAAUUAUACAGUAAGAGAAACAAUCAGGAAGAGUCUAGGUUUGUGCCAACAAAAAUGUGUCACAACAUGGGAGGCCAGAUCCUGGUACUAUUUCCAAUGUUAUGUGCUGCUCUAUCAUCUUCCUCACUGUCCUGUCCUUGUCAUUUGCUCCUUACGAGCGCCUAAUUGCUCUGCAGAACCAAUUCCUUUCAUCCAGUCAGGAGCUCUGUCACAUCCACCGUGGCAUUUGCUCCUCGUUUCUGGUGGUUUUAGCAGUCCUGUCACCUGCAUUUUCCUCCUGCUUCCAGCCUGUUAUGGCACGGGGCUAGGCUGAAUACAAGUCAGGUGUGAUUUAUUAGAGAGCCAGCCUUUCUUCACUCCACGUCUGGCAGCUAUCUGUAUGUAUUAUUCUGGGGCUUACACUUCAGCUUUUAUUCCCUUUUGUGAUGUCUAGAUAACAAUACUUUAAAUUUAUUCUCAAUGGCAUUUGAGUCAAAACCCCUUCAUCUCAAGCACAGCUGACAUUAGUUGCCUACACAAUGCAACAGCCUCAACCUAUUUCAGUGAAGAGGGGGAAAUAAAUGGAGCUAUCUAAUCAAUAUAGCAGGCUGAACUUGAAGUAUCCAUCCUUUAUUUAAGUGCCUUUGCUAAGAGCCAGUGUUUUAUUAAUCUUAAUCCUGAGAACUGAGCUCAGAAGCAGAAUCAGAGCCUCUUCUUGAUGUUUCAGCCCAUGGAGACACAGCUCACCCUGUUACAGCUCAGCCUUGAGUGUUGGAUCUCUCCUAACACAAACGGGGAGAUGUGUAGCAACCCCUCUGCUGUUACCCAAGUGCUCAUUUCUCUGAUAGCACGAAAGGCACAGCUUGAUGAUCAAAGACAUCUUGUGAGCGCUGAGCAAAACGGGUUGGAGAAGGUCUUCUCCCAUGUGAUAGCUGUCAGACAGCUUGAACCCAUGCAUGAAUGCCUGACUCCUGCACUGCUUCAACCUUCAGUCACACAGACCUGAAAGUGACCCUGUUGCACCUUCCAUUUUUUUCUGUGAGCUGGGUGGGCUUACCCCUAUCUUUAUGGGUCAUUAGCUUGUCCUGUCUGCCACACAUGCAGAAGUAAUGGUACCUUAGUCUAACCAUAGCCAUGGUCUUCAUCAGGCAUGACAAGAUGAAGGCUUAUUUUUAUCUGCAAUGUUGAAGGUUAUGCCCCAUCCCAAGCAGACUGGGGAGAACACAUUGCAGAGGAGCUCUGGUAAGAUUUAAUUGAGCCCCUUGAAUCAGUUACUUUGGUCACUAAGGGACAGCUGUGGGGAACAGCAGAACUCAGGCAGGAUGUGCAAAGUUACAAACUUCCCACACAUAGAGAAGAGGAGGCAGGGAAAUCCCUCACCCCUGGUAUGCAGAAGAGACCAUUUUCCUCCUCUCCCUGUCCUGGUUCUCCUCAUGUUCACAUUUCUCUGUUGGCUUUCACCUCCUCUUCUCCUCCAUCUCACCACUGCUGUUUUUUCUCAGCCACUUCUACUUUGUAGGUCACAUUUGUAGGAAGAAAUAGGCUCUUCAUUAGCACUUUCUGAAGCUAAAUUUCUGUAUUGCCAUGGGUGUGAGAUCUCAUGCCACCCUGAGAUGGGUUAGGAUAGCACAUCCCUGAUCCUGGAGGGAGGGUGAGAGUGGCAGCAAAGACGAUAACUAUGCCCACAACCCCAUCCAUAUGCCUAUAGCCUGCUGGAUUGCAGAAACCUAGCCAUAGAGCUGAUGAGCAUUCAAUUCACCCAUCAUCUAAUUCUGCUCACUUUGAAGAGUAACAGACCUUUCCCUCACUCUUGCUGUGCUAAUAAUUCUGCUUCUCCCUAUGUUGUAUGUUUCACAUUCUGGGAACCAGGAAC